UACGGGGGGGGCAAGCGUUGUUCGGAAUUACUGGGCGUAAAGGGCUCGUAGGUGGCCAACUAAGUCAGACGUGAAAUCCCUCGGCUUAACCGGGGAACUGCGUCUGAUACUGGAUGGCUUGAGUUUGGGAGAGGGAUGCGGAAUUCCAGGUGUAACGGUGAAAUGCGUAGAUAUCUGGAGGAACACCGGUGGCGAAGGCGGCAUCCUGGACCAACACUGACACUGAUGAGCGAAAGCCGGGGGAGCAAACGGG
rnacentral:rRNA from 1 species